CCUUGAGGCGUGGCUUCCGGAGCUAACGCGUUAAAUCGACCGCCUGGGGAGUACGGCCGCAAGGUUAAAACUCAAAUGAAUUGACGGGGGCCCGCACAAGCGGUGGAGCAUGUGGUUUAAUUCGAUGCAACGCGAAGAACCUUACCUACUCUUGACAUCCAGAGAACUUGGCAGAGAUGCCUUGGUGCCUUCGGGAGCUCUGAGACAGGUGCUGCAUGGCUGUCGUCAGCUCGUGUUGUGAAAUGUUGGGUUAAGUCCCGCAACGAGCGCAACCCUUAUCCUUUGUUGCCAGCGAUUCGGUCGGGAACUCAAAGGAGACUGCCGGUGAUAAACCGGAGGAAGGUGGGGAUGACGUCAAGUCAUCAUGGCCCUUACGAGUAGGGCUACACACGUGCUACAAUGGCGUAUACAAAGAGAAGCGACCUCGCGAGAGCAAGCGGACCUCAUAAAGUACGUCGUAGUCCGGAUUGGAGUCUGCAACUCGACUCCAUGAAGUCGGAAUCGCUAGUAAUCGUAGAUCAGAAUGCUACGGUGAAUACGUUCCCGGGCCUUGUACACACCGCCCGUCACACCAUGGGAGUGGGUUGCAAAAGAAGUAG
rnacentral:rRNA from 1 species